rnacentral:rRNA from 1 species
GACGAACGCUGGCGGCGUGCCUAACACAUGCAAGUAGAACGCAGUUGCGAACGGGUGAGUAACGCGUAGGUAACCGCCCUAAAGCGGGGGAUAACCAUUUGAAACGAUAGCUAAUACCGGAAUCUGUGACAUGGACCUGCGUUGUAUUAGCUAGUUGGAGAGGUAAAGGCUCACCAAGGCGACGAUACAUAGCCGACCUGGGAGGGUGAACCACCAAAAUGGGACUGGAACACGGCCCAGGCUCCUGCGGGAGGGAGCAGUAGGGAAUCUUCGGCAAUGGGCGGAAGUCUGACCGAGGAACGCCGCGGGGGUGAAGGAAGUUUUCGGAUCGUAAAGCUCUGUUGUGAGAGAAGCGGUAACUAACCAGAAAGGGACGGCUAACUACGUGCCAGCAGCCGCGGUAAUAC